GCUAGCGUUGCUCGGAAUCACUGGGCGUAAAGCGCACGUAGGCGGAUCUUUAAGUCAGGGGUGAAAUCCUGGAGCUCAACUCCAGAACUGCCUUUGAUACUGGGGAUCUCGAGUCCGGAAGAGGUGAGUGGAACUCCGAGUGUAGAGGUGAAAUUCGUAGAUAUUCGGAAGAACACCAGUGGCGAAGGCGGCUCACUGGUCCGGUACUGACGCUGAGGUGCGAAAGCGUGGGGAGCAAACAGG
rnacentral:rRNA from 1 species